rnacentral:rRNA from 1 species
UACAGAGGUCCCAAGCGUUGUUCGGAUUCACUGGGCGUAAAGGGUGCGUAGGCGGUCGGGUAAGUCUGAUGUGAAAUCUCCAAGCUCAACUUGGAAAUGGCAUCGGAUACUAUUCGGCUCGAGAAAUGGAGGGGAGACUGGAAUACUUGGUGUAGCAGUGAAAUGCGUAGAUAUCAAGUGGAACACCAGUGGCGAAGGCGAGUCUCUGGACAUUUCCUGACGCUGAGGCACGAAAGCCAGGGGAGCAAACGGG